CCUACGGGUGGCUGCAGUGGGGAAUAUUGGACAAUGGGCGAAAGCCUGAUCCAGCCAUGCCGCGUGUGUGAAGAAGGCCUUCGGGUUGUAAAGCACUUUCAGUGGGGAAGAAAGCCUUGGGGCUAAUACCCUCGAGGAAGGACAUCACCCACAGAAGAAGCACCGGCUAACUCCGUGCCAGCAGCCGCGGUAAUACGGAGGGUGCGAGCGUUAAUCGGAAUUACUGGGCGUAAAGCGCGCGUAGGCGGUCUGAUAAGCCGGUUGUGAAAGCCCCGGGCUCAACCUGGGAACGGCAUCCGGAACUGUCAGGCUAGAGUGCAGGAGAGGAAGGUAGAAUUCCCGGUGUAGCGGUGAAAUGCGUAGAGAUCGGGAGGAAUACCAGUGGCGAAGGCGGCCUUCUGGACCGACACUGACGCUGAGGUGCGAAAGCGUGGGUAGCAAACAGGAUUAGAUACCCCUGUAGUC
rnacentral:rRNA from 1 species